UCAACAACACUGUGCAGAUCUCAAUAAUCUCAGGUCUCAACUUCUCACAGCUGGAGCACUUUCAGAAAUGACAAACAAAUGUACCUGGGCAGCGUGUCUUUAGGUUAGGUCAGUGCUGCUGGGAGUAACACCACCGACAGCUGGUCCUGGCCGGGAUCACAAAGAGCUUUUAUACACAGAGGAAGGACUGUGGAAGAUGAAAGAUGCAGAUGUUCCACCAGCACACAACACAGAGGACAUUCUUGAAAUGUAUUUCAACACACAAAAGACGAGGGGAGUUUUACAGUGCAAGACUUUUACUUUUCAUCACUGUUUAAUCUAAUAUGGUCUUAUUGAAAAUGAAGCAGGAUUUAAUGUAGCGAGAUGGAGAAGCUACAUUAACAGAACUUCCCUGUGGGUAAUAUUAAUACAAAGAUACAUUUCAAAAUAAAUGUCUGUACAACAAGGCUUAAAUAUGAUAAGUGCAGACAGACAGAACACCCACUGUAACAAUGUAAUACAGGCCAGUAGUCCUGCAAUGAGUACAACCUUGUAAAGCUUGUAAUGUUUAGUUUUUACUGAAACAGAUGUUGAAUUGUUUUAAAGCUGAAUAUUAUAGAUAGAUAGAUAGAUAGAUAGAUAGAUCUGUAUUACUUUUCACUGUACAUGUUCAUUGAGAAUAGACGUGUCCAGACCAGUUAAUGGAGAGACAGCUGUUAAUUGAGGUAGAGAAAACGGAGACGAUGACACAGGUCUUGAGCUGAAGCCUACACACACCGCGUUUCAUAACAGUUGCUGCCCUUUAUCAGAGCCGUCAUCCGUUUAUUCAGCAUAGAUGCCAGCCGUAGUAAGGUUUAAUCCUAAUCCACUCUCAUCUUGUUGUGUUUAAGUGAUCACGUGGUCUGUCCAAGACACACAGCUCUGAUAUUUACAAGCCUGCAGCCAGUGUGUGUUUGUGAUGGCUGAGAGUGUGUAGCUACAGAGAAGUGGACAUCCAAUUUCACCAAUAUAGCCACCGGGACUUGUGCUGCUGUGCCUGGGAAAUGGAACAAUCCAAGAGAUAACACAUGCUUAAUUUCUGCUCAAACCGUAACAGUGUGGCUGGAAAGUUGAGUGAGUGGAGGUAAUGAAAGAAAGGUAACGUGGCCAGUGAAAACCGCUAAGGGUCAUGGGAUGUGGCAUGGGAAAAUCAAAACUACAGCUGAAGAAAUGUGAAAGAGUGAGUCUCUCGGUUCCAG